rnacentral:rRNA from 1 species
UACAGAGACUGCAAGCGUUAUUCGGAUUCACUGGGCGUAAAGGGUGCGCAGGCGGCCGGGUGUGUGAGGCGUGAAAGCCCGAUGCUUAACAUCGGAAUUGCACCUCAAACUACACGGCUAGAGCAUUGGAGAGGGUAGCGGAAUUCACGGUGUAGCAGUGAAAUGCGUAGAUAUCGUGAGGAAAACCAGAGGCGAAGGCGGCUACCUGGACAAUUGCUGACGCUCAGGCACGAAAGCGUGGGGAGCAAAAGGG